CACACCGCCCGUCACACCACGAAAGCUCGCUGUACCAGAAAUCGGUGCGCCAACCGCAAGGAGGCAGCCGCUUAAGGAGUGACUGGUAACUGGGGUG
rnacentral:rRNA from 1 species